GACGAACGCUGGCGGCGUGCUUAACACAUGCAAGUCGAACGGAAAGGCCCUGCUGUUGUGGGGUGCUCGAGUGGCGAACGGGUGAGUAACACGUGAGUAACCUGCCCUUGACUUUGGGAUAACUUCAGGUAACUGGGGCUAAUACCGGAUAGGAGUUCUGGCUGCAUGGUGGUGGUUGGAAAGUUUCGGCGGUUGGGGAUGGACUCGCGGCUUAUCAGCUUGUUGGGGGGGUAGGGGCUUACCAGGGCUUUGACGGGUAGCCGGCCUGAGAGGGUGACCGGCACCAUGGGGACUGGGAUACGGCCCGGCCUCCUACGGGAGGCAGCGGUGGGGAAUAUUGCACAAGGGGGGGAGGCCUAAUGCGGCACCGCCGCGGGCGGGAGGACGGCCUUCGGGUUUUAAACCGCUUUCGCAUGUGACGAGGCGUGUGUGACGGUAAUGGGUAAAGAAGCACCGGCUAACUACGUG
rnacentral:rRNA from 1 species